GACACCGCACAACGCUUUCAUCCCUUAUCUCCUCCGCUGAUUUUCCUGGAGCCGCCGUUCUUCUCCCAGCGGUGCGCGCCUGCUCCCUCCAGCUCGCGCCCGUGGCUCCCUGUGCUCGCUGGUGCUUGUCCAUGGCUCCUCCUCGCCUCUGCUCUAGCCCCUUCUCUACGCCGUCGUUGAGCUCGCUCCUGCCCUCUGCCUGGUGGACACGCUCGCCCUAGCCCCCAGCGUCGACCGCCCCUGCUCCCUUCUGCAGCCUCAACUCCCUCACGGCUGCUCCCAUGACCUUUCCCAUCCAUGGCCAUCACCCAUCUGAAGUCGUGGAGCACGCCAUGGCCUCCAAUGUCGUCAGUCUCCGGAGCGCCGCGUGGCCGCUCCUCUACCAUUUCCUGGUAGAUUGGACCGGAACAGACUAACGGAGCGGAGUUCUGCUAUUAAUCAUUAUAGGUACGCUAGAUGAUUAUGCGAUAUGAAGGGCAUGAACCAGACUGAACCACAAGAUGGAUGAUCUGACCCAGUGCCAGGAUGAGAGAUGCUCACCGAGUGGUCGUCGUUUGACAACACCAACUUAGUGUUAUUCGAGGCAACUCUUUCACAUGGAUUUUUAAAAUCUGUACUGUUUAAAGAACCAGAAAUGGAUUUGCUUGUUUCUAAUUCAUUUUGCUUGUUGGAUGUUGAUAUGCACAUGCAUUUUCAUGUAAAUUCAUUCCUUCUACUUUACAUCCCUUUUUUAUUUCCUUGCAGCCAUUGUCUCAUAUAGAUAACCUUCUGCAGUCAGCUUAUGAUCAAGGGGACAAAUAAGAUCAUGCCAACUCUACUCCAUGUACUGCUGGUGUCACAGGUCCAUAAUGCUUUGUUCAACCUUUGCAAAAUUAAUAAAAGAAGAUAGGAACAAGCAGCUGAAAAUGGAAUCAUCCCUCACUUGAUGAAAUUUGUCAUGUCAGACUCACCUCUGCGACAGUAUGCCCUGCCUUUGCUAUGUACUUAAAUCUGCUGGAGGAUGAUGCAUGGGCAUGCACGACAUUAGAUUCUAUUGUUGUUUGUUUGGCUCACGAUAAUGAUCACAGAAAAGUGGAACAAGCACUGUUGAAAAAAGAGGCCAUUCAGAAUUUAGUGAAGUUCUUCCAAGAUUGCCCAGAACAGUUUUUUGGCCAUAUAUUGGAUGCUUUCUUGAAGAUAAUAACGAAAUCUUCUAGGCUAAAUACAGCAAUGGCUACCAAUGGUUUAGCAACAUUGCUCAUUGCAAGACUUGACCAUUCAAAUUUGGUGGUCGCAAAAGUGUGGAGACUUAAAUUCAUAUAAUGUUAGGCUUAACAUUAGUGCAAACAGUUGUAUUUUAGUUUAGAUUUAGAGUACACUUAUGUAUGCGUUGUUUGACAAUGCUUAUUUAUGAUAUAUUGAAUGAUACUUAUUUAUAUUAUAU